ACCUAGUAUUUAAAAAAGAAAACCAGAAAUGACAAGUGUCACCCUCCUCUUCCUCCUUUAAAAAAUUAAAAAUCUAUAGCUUUUACACAUGUCACGCUGAAUUUUUCGUGAGCAAAACAAAUGACCAUCUGCUUACCGUCUCCCAAUUGAUUUGUUGUGCAAUAACCUUUAAAUUCAAUGCUUAAUUUCCCCCCUUUCAUAUUCUACCGUUCAAUGAAAAUGGGGAGCCUUCAAGUUUAAUACCUUGCUCAAUUUAAUUUAAUGCUUAAUUCACCCCUUUCAUAUUCUAUUAACCGUCUUCAACCAUUCAAUUAUAGAUUUAUAGCCUUUUAAUUUAAUGCUUAAUGAAAGAGAUGAAAUAGAAUGGUGUGAGUAUAAUAAGUUGUUUUUUUAAACUAAAUAUAUAAAUAGCCCUUUCAGAGAUGAAAUAGAAAUAGUAUGAGUAUGAGUAUAAUAAGUUAUCUUCUAAUUGUAUCUUCUUUACAUUAAUCUUGGUUGCUAUUAUCUUGAUACUCUUUUGUUUUCAUGGAAUUGAUCCGAAUAUAUUGAUGCGGCAUUUUGGUUUGAAAAUCUGAAACUGCAUCCUCUACUAUUAAUCUUGUGAGUAUUAUCUAUUAUUUGGAUUUUGCAUUUGAUAUUACUGAAAUUUCAAGACUUAGAGUUUGAUUGAAUUUUGCAUUUUUGCGAUGAAUCCCAAAUAUUGAAGGUUUCUCUCAUUGUUUUAUAAUUAUUUGCAUCCUUUGCUUCAUUAGUUGUUCAUUGUAACAGUGAAGAGUUUCAUGUUCUUGGAUUAACAGUCUGAAGACAUAUAUCUCCCACCUGUUAAGCAGCCAAAUGCGAUCUUCCCUAAGCUAGCUUGAUUGCAAAAUGCAAUCUAUUAGUGUGUCUUGUAGCAUUCUCAUGCUAGGCAUUUGACAAUCGAAGUGGAAAGUUAAAGAGAAUAUAUAUAGCCAUACAAGAUGUCAAAGAUAAAUUUGAUAAAUUUGGGAGGGGAGAAGAGAUAUUGCCACACCCGUAUUGUACAACAUCAGUAGUUCUUAUGAUAAUGGGAAAUGAGGAUCAUUUCACCCAUCUUUAGAAUUUUGGUGUGGUAAUUUCCAUGUUCCGCGGAAGGUCGACAAUGAUUUGAUUGAUAUGCGGCACGAAUCUCCGUCGUAUGAGGUGGUUUUCAAUCGGUUGUGGCGACGACUACCGGAAUGGUUCAUAAGCGUGAUGUUGCUAUUCUUCAUGAACUUUGGUUUUAUUGAUGUUUUAAAUUAUUUUGUUUUUCAAAGCUUUGUGAACCAAUUGAUCAACCGAUUUCUAAACAGGUUAUACAUAGAAAAGAAUUUGAAAAAUAAGGAAAUUAUUGUAUUAUGAUGUUACCGAAUUUAUGGAUUUUACUGAGUAUGCUGGAAUUAUAUGAAUUCUCUACUAUGGCAUCA